AACUCUACUUUAAAGACCCAUCAGGAGACAUCUCAGCUGCAGCUCCAAAGCCGUCCGUCACUAUUCUCACUGCCACCACAGACCGGGCUCUUCUGCAGUGUGAGGUUCCUGGUGCUUCUCUAAACACUAAAGCAGAGUGGCAGAGCAGAGAUGGAAACAGACUGGAAGCUGAGGAGAAACGAGUCCCAGAGGAAGACCACGUCUUCAUCUCUCUCAGCGUUAAUGUGACCAGGACAGACCUCUACCUCUGUGUGGUCUCUCAGGAGGACAUCAAGCAUCGGGUCUCUGCUCAGACCUUUGUGUUCAUCAACGAGAGCAAGUGAGGACUCAGACAGCAGGGGCCAUGGUUAUUGCUGGCAUAGUUUCAUUUGUUUCGGGAGCUUUAAUUCUUAUUGCAGUUCAGAAGGUAUUGCUUGUAGGGAAGCCCAGGGAAAUACAAAGGUUCUGCUCUGAAGGAAAGAGAGCCAGACAAACGGCUCCGUUAUAGAUCCUUCAGAGGAGCCACUGAGGUCAGACGAAAAGUGUUAGCGUUACAUCUGAUGUAAAGGUGUGUGUCUGAGUUUGUUGAGUGUGAGGACAUUUCAGGCCGGCUGGUGCAGACCUUCAAAAGCCUUUCUGAGGGGUUCAAUUAGACUUAAGUAUAUAGUAGCUCCUGGUGCAUGGGCUCAAAGAUUUAAUAUUAAACUCUCUUUAUAAACCCAACCUUAACCCUUUGUUUCCACACAGCUUUGUUCUGUGAUUGUAAUUCUGUAAAGUAUACAGAGAGAGCCCCUAGUGUUCAAGGCAAGGAACCUGAAGCGUUGCAGAGACAAACACAGGACCAGAAGAUCAGAACAAUAGAAUCAUUACAUGUAUAUGAAAGCUUCCUGUUAUUAAACGUUGCUUUAUGAGGUGCAGGCUGCUAACAGAUACUUUAGCAGAGUGCAAUUAUUCACCAUGUGCUGAACUACUCAACAAGUUUCUUUUACUAAAUACCAUACGACUGACUGUGAUUAAUCUACAGCAGUGAAAAUAGAGAACUAGCUGAAUGAGAAGUGAAUAUAGUAUAAAUAAAAGUAUCAGUCAGACUGCUGAUGAGAGUCUGAUGGUCCUCAGGGUUCAUCUGUCAAUCACACAUUCAUUCAGUAACUAACACACACUGCCAACAUGGACAUGUUUGGUUUGGGUUAACAAUAAUAUUUCUGCAUUGUAUGCAACUUGAUUUAUGUAAUAUAUGUUUUUAUUCUCUCUGCUGCAGGUUCU